GUCUAUGGCCAUACCACCCUGAACGUGCCCGAUCUCGUCUGAUCUGGGAAGCUAAGCAGGGUUGGGCCUGGUUAGUACUUGGAUGGGGGUUACCUAAAGUUCUAGUAAAGCCAGUAUGCU
rnacentral:rRNA from 1 species